UACGGAGGGGGCAAGCGUUGUUCGGAAUUACUGGGCGUAAAGGGCGCGCAGGCGGCUGCUCAAGUCAGGCGUGAAAGCCCGGGGCUCAACCCCGGGAGGCGGGUGGAUACUGCCGGGCUAGAGUCCGGAAGAGGCGAGUGGAAUUCCUGGUGUAGCGGUGAAAUGCGCAGAUAUCAGGAGGAACACCCGUGGCGAAGGCGGCUCUCUGGGACGGUACUGACGCUGAGACGCGAAAGCGUGGGGAGCGAACAGG
rnacentral:rRNA from 1 species